rnacentral:rRNA from 1 species
CCUACGGGAGGCAGCAGUGAGGAACAUUGGUCAAUGGGCUUACGCCUGAACCAGCCAAGUCGCGUGAAGGAAGACUGCCCUAUGGGUUGUAAACCGCUUUUAUCAGGGAGCAACGCCGGCUACGUGUAGCCGGACUGAGAGUACCUGAAGAAAAAGCAUCGGCUAACUCCGUGCCAGCAGCCGCGGUAAUACGGAGGAUGCAAGCGUUAUCCGGAUUUACUGGGUGUAAAGGGGGCGCAGACGGCAAUGCAAGCCAGUAGUGAAAGCCCGGGGCCCAACCCCGGGACUGCUCUGGGAACUGGAUGGCUGGAGUACAGGAGGGGCAGGCGGAAUUCCUAGUGUAGCGGUGAAAUGCGUAGAUAUUAGGAGGAACCCCGGUGGCGAAGGCGGCCUGCUGGACUGGGACUGACGUUGAGGCCCGAAGGCGUGGGGAGCAAACAGGAUUAGAUACCCCUGUAGUC